rnacentral:tRNA from 1 species
GCCCCAAUAGUGUAGUUCGGCCAAUCAUUACGGCCUCUCGAGUCGUAGACCCGGGUUCAAAUCCCGGUUGGGGCACCA